GAUGAAGAACGUAGCGAAAUGCGAUACGUAAUGUGAAUUGCAGAAUUCAGUGAAUCAUCGAGUCUUUGAACGCACAUUGCGCCCCUUGGUAUUCCGAGGGGCAUGCCUGUUCGAGCGUCAUUAUAACCCCUCAAGCUCGGCUUGGUGUUGGGGCCUGCCGCACGGGCAGCCCUUAAAAUCAGUGGCGGUGCCAUCUGGCUCUAAGCGUAGUAAUUCUUCUCGCUAUAGAGUCCCGGUGGAUGCUUGCCAUUAACCCCCAAUUUCAAUGGUUGACCUCGGAUCAGGUAGGGAUACCCGCUGAACUUAAGCAUAUCAAUAAGCGGAGGA
rnacentral:misc_RNA from 1 species